UAGAUUGAAGCCAGUUGUGUAGGGUUUUUAGCUGUUAACUAAAGUUUCGCGGGAUCGAGGCCCGCCAAUCUAG
rnacentral:tRNA from 1 species